AAAUUGAAGAGUUUGAUCAUGGCUCAGAUUGAACGCUGGCGGCAGGCUUAACACAUGCAAGUCGAACGGUAGCACAGAGAGCUUGCUCUC
rnacentral:rRNA from 1 species